UGAGUCAUCUCGGUGAAGCUGCCAGCAGUCCCGUCACGAGUCAUCUUGGGCUGCGAGUGAGGUUUGUCAGGACGCUCCACUUUUAACAAAGACCAGAGUCCCAGAGGCCAUGAGAGUGGCUGAAUAGGGUGGUGGCGCUUACUUGGGUGACUUGAGGGACAGGCCUGAGGAUAAUGGGAACCGCAGCCCACGUCUAACGAGGGCGGCCAGAUACUGGAAUUAACCACGUUUAGCUGCUCUAAUUCUCCGACUCAGGAGACUCCAUUAUUUCACUCCAUUUUAUAAAAGAGGAAGCUGUGCCCGGGGAGGCCAGGAACCUGCUCCAGGUCCCACGUUAGCAAGGGGUGGUGACGGGGCCUGACUAUUCUUCCGAUUCCUACAAGGCAGUCAUCCCCCAGGCCCACCCGUGGGGGAAGUGAUCCAGACCCCCAGGGCACACCCGGAAUCUUGGAUGGGACCAAACUCCACGCACACUGUUUCCCCCUAGGCGUGUGCACCAGUGAUGAAGUUUAAUUUGUAAACUAGGAACAGUCCGAGAUGAGAACAGCUGGGAAGAAAACCAAGUGCUGUGAGUGUCGCCUCGUUCUCUUUCCUCCUCUCUCCAAAUCUCUCUCUGCACUGCAUUCGCCCUCCUUCCGGUGGUGAUGGGAGAUGACCCCCGGCCUGCAUGAGGCUGUGAAGAGAGGGCCUGCAGGAAGCCUGGACUGAGGGUUUAAUGAGAGGACCACCUCAACUGCACAGCGAGGGUUAAGUGUGUUCCUGCUUCUGUAAAUCGAGGUGCCCACAUCUCCCGCACGUGCAGAGGGACACGCCUUAUUCUGGACAACUGGAGUCAACCUGCCUUGGCUUCUUGCCUCCCUGGCCCCCCCAUCCCCUGGGGAGCCUCCUAACGCGAGGGUUUUCCUACAUCUGUGGCCAGGGUCCUUUGAGAAGAGAUGGGGGCCCAGCCCUGGAAGCUGCUUGAAGGGAGUCUGGGCUGCUGUGGACUUCUUGAGCUGAGAAGGAGGACAAGGCUUCCUGAGCCACAGGGGGCAGCCCUGCUGGACUCCCGCAGUGAUACUGGCCUCCUCCAGCGGGGAAGUGACCCCAGGGGUCCUGUUCUUUCUCCCGUCUCUGGCGACAUGGUAAGGGAUUGGGAUGCUCAUCUGGGUGUUGUGUUCACUCAGUGGAGAAAUCCGAGGUCUGGAGCUGUCUGGUUUGGUCCUCGGGUUUGCCACUCCCCGCCCAGGGAUCCUCUGCUUGCUCGCCGCCGUAGGGCACUUGCAGAGCUGGGGAAGAGCGAGCUCUGAGGAUUUGCAGGAAAAGGGCAGAUUGUCCCUAAGGGGAACAAGGAGAUGGCGUCCUUUGAGCUCUGCAGCCGGUUUCUUGCGGUGCCCUGUGGGUGGGCUUGUGGGUCGUGGAGGGCCACACAGCAGGCCUCCUGCCUUGGCAGAGCCCAAGCCUUAACCCAGCAUGGGGGCCCUGGGCUGUUGGAUUUCUGGGGAGCAGCAUAGACCACAGACUCCCCCAAAGUUCUACUUUGGCAAGAAUCGCUGUCUCCUUCAUAUGACCCUGGGGAGGGAGGUGGCGGGGAGGGAGCCCUAACACGGAACAAGAUUGUGCUUCUUGGCA